GAUGAAGAACGCAGCGAAAUGCGAUACGUAAUGUGAAUUGCAGAAUUCAGUGAAUCAUCGAAUCUUUGAACGCAUAUUGCGCUCUUUGGUAUUCCGAAGAGCAUGCUUGUUUGAGUAUCAGUAAACACCUCAACCUCUUCUUGAUUUUUCAAAAGGAGGGUGGACUUGAGCUAUCCCAACAACCUUUACCGGUCGGCGGGCGGCUUGUAAUGCAGGUGCAGCUGGACUUUUAUCUGAGCUAAAAGCAUAUCUAUUUAGUCCUCGUCAAACAGGAUUAUUACUUUUGCUGCAGCUAACAUAAAGGAUAAUUGUCCUCUUUGCUGACUGAUGCAGGAUUUUACGACACUUUAUGUGUUGUUCAACUCGAUCUCAAAUCAAGUAAGACUACCCGCUGAACUUAAGCAUAUCAAUAAGCGGAGGA
rnacentral:misc_RNA from 1 species